rnacentral:rRNA from 1 species
GAGUUUGAGUCCAUGGCUCAGAAUGAACGUAUGGCGGCUUGGAUAGGCAUGCAGUCAGACCGCUACAUCAGACACUGGUGGAAGCGGCGAACGGCGUAGUAAUAUGUAGGAACGUGCCCUCAGGACGGGGAUAGCUACGGGAAACUGUAGGUAAUACCCGAUAAUCUCUGCGGAGCAAAGGUGUGAUUCCACCUGAGGAGCGGCCUACACGAUAUAGCUAGUUGGCGGGGUAAUGGCCCACCAAGGCAAAGAUGUCUAGGGGGUGUGAGAGCAUGGCCCCCACGACCGGAACUGAGAUACUGUCCGGACACCUACGGGUGGCUGCAGUCGAGAAUCUUCCGCAAUGGACGAAAGUCUGACUGGAGCGACGCCGCGUGCGGGAUGAAGGCCCUUGGGUUGUAAACCGCUGUCAGAGGGGAUGAAAUCUUCGGAGGUACUCCUCCGAAGUUGACAAAGCCUCAAAGGAAGCACGGGCUAAGUACGUGCCACACCGCGGUAACACGUACUGUGCGAACGUUAUUCGGAAUCACUGGGCUUAAAGGGUGCGUAGGCGGGAUUCAAGUCAGGUGUGAAAUGCUGAGCUCACUGAGGCAUGCGCUUGAAACUGACAUUGCUAGAGUAUCCAGGGUGUGCGGAACUGCAGUG